rnacentral:rRNA from 1 species
UAACACAUGCAAGUCGAGCGGAGACAUACAGCGGAUAGGAAGUUUCGGAUGGAAUGAAGAAGUAUGUUUAGCGGCGGACGGGUGAGUAACGCGUGAGCAAUCUGUCCUUCACAGGGGGAUAACACAGCGAAAGUUGUACUAAUACCGCAUAAGACCACGGUGUUGCAUGACACAGGGGUCAAAGGAGGAAUCCGGUGAAGGGUGAGCUCGCGUCCGAUUAGAUAGUAGGUGAGGUAACGGCCCACCUAGUCGACGAUCGGUAGCCGACCUGAGAGGGUGAUCGGCCACAUUGGGACUGAGACACGGCCCAAACUCCUACGGGAGGCAGCAGUGGGGAAUAUUGGGCAAUGGGGGGAACCCUGACCCAGCAACGCCGCGUGAGGGAAGAAGGUUUUCGAAUCGUAAACCUCUGUCCUUGGUGAAGAGGAAGAGACGGUAGCCAAGGAGGAAGCCCCGGCUAACUACGUGCCAGCAGCUGC